GAAAGUAAGCAAGGGCGCAUGGCGGAUGCCUUGGCUCUCAGAGGCGAUGAAGGACGUGAUAAGCUGCGAUAAGCUGCGGUGAUUGGCAAAUACGAUUUGAUCCGCAGAUUUCCGAAUGGGGCAACCCGCCGGACUGACGGUCCGGCACACCUGUAAAGGUGGGCUAACGUGGGGAACUGAAACAUCUUAGUACCCAUAGGAGAAGAAAAUAAUAAUGAUUCCCUUAGUAGUGGCGAUCGAACGGGGAGCAGCCCAAACCGUUAUUGUUUUGGCAAUAGCGGGGUUAUAGGAGUAUAUCUAAGCUAUAGUUUAGUCAACUGGAAGUGUCUGGAAAGUCACACCAUAGACAGUGAUAGUCUGGUACAGGUACGCUUGAGCUAUAGUGAUAUACCACCUGAGUAGCGCGGGACACGUGGAAUCUUGCGUGAAUUUGCGGGGACCAUCCCGUAAGGCUAAAUACUUCUGAGAGACCGAUAGUGUACUAGUACUGUGAAGGAAAGGUGCAAAGGACCUCGAACAGAGGAGUGAAAUAGUUCCUGAAACCAUGCGCUUACAAGCGGUCGGAGCCCUUUUUGUGGGGUGACGGCGUGCCUUUUGCAUAAUGAACCUACGAGUUACUGUUGUCGGCCAGGUUAAGGUGUUCAGCACCGUAUCCGAAGCGAAGGCGAGUCUUAAUAGGGCGUUUGAGUCGGCGGCAGUAGACGCGAAACCAAGUGAUCUACCCAUGGUCAGGCUGAAGUUUGGGUAACGCCAACUGGAGGGCCGAACCGCAAAACGUUGAAAAGUUUUCGGAUGAAUUGUGGGUAGGGGUGAAAGGCUAAUCAAACUUGGAGAUAGCUCGUACUCCCCGAAAUGCAUUUAGGUGCAGCCUUGGGAGUUUCUUAUGAGAGGUAGAGCGACUGAUUGGAUGCGAGGGCUUCACCGCCUAUCAAGUCUUGAUAAACUCCGAAUGCUCAUAAGUUAUCCUGGGAGUGAGGGCAUGGGUGCUAAGGUCCGUGUCCGAGAGGGAAAGAACCCAGACCAUCAGCUAAGGUCCCCAAAUGAUACCUAAGUUAUAUGAACGAAGUCAGAUUGCACAGACAGCUAGGAUGUUGGCUUGGAAGCAGCCAUUCAUUUAAAGAGUGCGUAACAGCUCACUAGUCGAGGAGUUUGGCAUGGAUAAUAACCGGGUAUAAGGUAUCUACCGAAGCUAUGGAUUAUAUGGUAGGGGAGCAUUCCAUUGUCGUUGAAUGUGAAGUGUGAGCUUUGCUGGAGAUUAUGGAAACGCAAAUGUAGGUAUAAGUAACGAUAAAGGGGGUGAGAAACCUCCUCGCCGAAAGACUCAGGAUUCCUGAUCAACGUUAAUCGGAUCAGGGUUAGUCGGGCACUAAGGAUAAGCCGAAGGGCGAUUCCGAUGUCAGAAUCGGUUAAUAUUCCGAUACUGGCUUUAUGAGUGACGUGGAGACGGAGAAGUGACAGUGUCGCCAACUGACGGAAUAGUUGGUUAAAGGGUGUAGACGUUGAUUGUGGCAGGCAAAUCCGCCGCGAGAGUUGAACCUGAUAGUACCGAGAGCCCUUGUGGCGAUCGGAUAGUACAUGUAAACAGGCUUCCAAGAAAAUCCGCUAAACAUAUCAUAGAGUCACCCGUACCUCAAACCGACACAGGUAGUUGGGUAGAGUAUACUAAGGCGCUCGAGUGAAUCACGGUUAAGGAACUAGGCAAAUUUGUCCUGUAACUUUGGGAGAAAGGACGCCACAGCGAUGUGGUCGCAGAGAAUUGGUCCAGGCGACUGUUUAGCAAAAACACAGGGCUAUGCUAAAUCGAAAGAUGCUGUAUAUGGCCUGACACCUGCCCGGUGCCGGAAGGUUAAGAGGAGAUGUUAUCGUGAGAGAAGCAUUGAAUUGAAGCCCCGGUAAACGGCGGCCGUAACUAUAACGGUCCUAAGGUAGCGAAAUUCCUUGUCGGGUAAGUUCCGACCUGCACGAAUGGUGUAACGAUCUGGACACUGUCUCAACCGUGAGCUCGGUGAAAUUGUAGUAUCGGUGAAGAUGCCGAUUACCCGUAACGGGACGGAGAGACCCCGUGAACCUUUACUGCAGCUUAACAUUGAAUUUGGGUAUCAGAUGUGUAGGAUAGGCCGGAGACUGUGAAUCAGGUACGCUAGUAUUUGUGGAGUCAUCCUUGAAAUACGGUCCUUUUGUUAUUUGAAUUCUAACCCGCGUUAUUUUGUGGGGACACUGUUUGGUGGGUAGUUUGACUGGGGUGGUCGCCUCCAAAAGAGUAACGGAGGCUC
rnacentral:rRNA from 1 species